GCCGAGGUAGUCUAGUCCGGUAAGGCGGCGGUCUCGAAUAAGACAUUAGUCUCCGAGUCAACCGCUGGCGACUCGCCACGGGAGUUCAAAUCUCUCCCUCGGCG
rnacentral:tRNA from 1 species